AAAGAAGAAAACGAAAAAAGAAAGAAAACGAGGAAAACUUUAAUUUUAAAAUAUAUAGAUAUUCUAAAGUACCUAUGUGAUACUGCUACGUUCUUCCGUUUUCUCCUGCUCAUAAUUUUAACUCAGCACACGUUCUUUCAAUUUUCAACUAACCUCCUUACGAAGACAGGUAGGAAGGUACCUAUCAUGUUCCUCUUCCCAUUUCGCACUAAGGAAUAGUAUAUUCAUUUUCAAGUCGAGUUCCUUCCUUGAGCACGAUAGAAUAGCUUUACAAAUAAAUAAAUAAA
rnacentral:ribozyme from 1 species